GCUAGUUAGUGAGCACCUUGCAGACACACAGGAUGUACUUCUCCAAGAUGGUGCAAUGGAGCAGAAACAGCUCAUGUCCCUAAUAAGAAGCCACGAGGGACCUCAUUGCUUAUUGAAGAGUCUUGCAGCAUACUUUGUUCGUUGGUCUUUUCUUAAUGGUUGGCUAUUUCUCCUCCAAUUCAAGGUAAGCAGAUAACUUGUUAUGAUUACUUAAAUUAAAGAGAAGAGGCCAAAGAGGAGAAAUGGGAGAUGAGGAGAAAGAAGAGUUGGGGGAGAUGGAGGGAUGGAAAGAAAGAAAGAGGAGAAGAAAAGAGGAUAAAGAAAAUGUGGAAUAAGAAGGGGAAGAAGAGGAGGAGAGGGAGGAGAUAGGGGGGUGAAGAAAGUGAGGAAGAGGAGGAGGACAAGGAGGAGGAUAGAAAGAAGGAGGAGGAAGAAGGAAGGAGAGAGGAGGUAGAGAAGGAGAAGGAGUUUGUCCCUUUACCCUCUCCAAGUUGAGAUCCCUACUUUCAGCUGAUCUCUCUAAACACAGUCAUUAGUCAAUUGGUUUUAACAUGGGCAUAAAGAUUGAUAUCUACCAUGGUGACAAAGAAGAAAUCCUUUAAUUCACACAAAUUAUAAGCUGAUGACUUGAUUAAGAAGCCUCAUUGUUUCAACUUUGGGAAAGUGAAGUGUUUUUUGAACUACUAACGUGAAAUGUAAGUCACAGUUGGUGACUCUCAUCUCUCUCUUGCUCUUUUCUUGCUUUCUCCCUUUGUCUUUACCAAAACAUUGCAACUAUUAGGUACCAUUCAGAGUCAAUGCGGACCUGAACACACAACUGGCCACGGAGGGAGGCCCUUCAUAAACAGAUCUUGCUGAGUUUAAUCAGAAUCUGCCUCAUGCACAUAGACACAGAUCCUCUUAGAGAUGAAAAGGUUGUCUGUGCAUACUUACAUCAGGGUGUGGCUACACAUUGAAAUUCACUGGUCUUGAGAUCUUUCUGGUCCUAUAGGGUACUGAUGUAUGUAUAUCCUGGUCUAUUAAUCACACAUGCAAAAAGGAAUUUUAGCCUGCAGAGUUGGCAUUUCUUUUUAAGUUUGUUCUUGUUGUUUUUGGUUUUUUAACCAUGAUAAAAAACAUAAUGGAAGAAAUCACUAAGGUAUUAACAUCAACAGUCAAGAUGAUAAUCUGGUAAGUAUGCAAUAACAGCAGUAGCAGAGGAAGAAGGCUGGUGGUCACUCAUAGAACAAAGCAGGCGCCCUCAGGUGCAAGCCCUCUUUGCACUCUCCACAGUCUAUGGGAAGGAGAUGGGAAGGGAAUUGCACAUAAGCCAGACGAUUUCCAGGAAAACAGGCUUAACAGUUUGUAAAUAUAUAAAGCCUUUUGAGGACACAAAAUAAAGUGUGGUCUUUAAAGAAAAUAGGCUUAGUUACAGGAUGGGCAGACAGUGUUUUGAACACGGUUGGAUCAAAUGGUGAAGACCAUAUUUCAAAGAUGCAACUUCUGCGUGUUUAUGUCUAAGCAGCUUCUGGUCUUUAAAACUGUCUUUCAUACAAAUGUGAGAGAUGACAAACUUUAUUGGGGGUCCUGAAGCUUAUCUUUAAGGUGGGACCCUGUGGCUAAAGACACCACACACUUUACAUAUAGGACUUGAAUGAACUAAGCUAGAGUUGACCUGGAAACCUCGUUCCUGAGGAGUAUCACUCACAAUAUCUGAAGGUACUACACAAGCUGGAACAGAGAAAAACAAUCAGCAGUUCAUCUCAGCCAUAAGACCUAGAGAUCAUAGCAAUGACCAGAUAUCCCCAAGGGUCCACUAGUGCAACUGAUAUCUUGGGGCUAACCAACAUCUGUCUAUUUAAAAUUGACUCAUUAUUAGAGGGAACUCCGUGCCUGGUACUAUAGACCUAGCCAGCAAUCCAUGACUUGUGACAUCAUGAACCCAAAAGAAGAAUGUAAUACUGCUACUUUCCUAAACCAAUAUACUUUCACACUGCAUUAUAAAUACUGACCUUUAUACCCACAGAUAGUAUAGCUCUCACCCCUCAUCAAACAAGCUUCUUUUUGCAAUAGAUGAAGACCACUGAAGAAAUAUAUCCACCCACUGAUCUAAGUCAUUCUUGAACACGAUUAUGAGUGUUUUCAUACAUAUGUGAUGCAUUGAGUAACUGAAUGGAUCCCAUCUGGGAGAUAUAUAAAGUGGACACUGAAGUGACUCAUCAGGCAGCUGCAGAGAAUACACAGAUGAGAAUGGCAGGGAACUCCACCAUGAAGAUGCUGAGCAUCAUCCACACCAUUUCCAGAAGAUGGAAAAAGCCACAUGACUGUGCCACAAAAUUGAGGAAGAGUUUGAAGCUCACGGCUGCCAGAGUGAAACCUUGGGCUCUGGUAUUAGCUGCCUUGUACAUGGCUGAUUGGAACACAAAGGAAAAUAAUCUUGUAAGUUGUUGAUGAAAACAAGACUACUUGAAAUUUUAAUAUGAAAAACAUCCUUCAUUGUCUGGCCUAUCAAAUAUUUAAUGGUUCUAAACUUCAAGUUAUUCUGAGAACAAGAUAGGAUAAUAAUGUAUAAGUCACAAAAUUAAAAUUGUCAAGUGGGUGAUGUAUGAUGAAGUGUAUAAGCACAUGCACAGAAAAAAAUUAUACAACUUAAUUGACAUUAAUAAAUAAAUGAGGAGUUCCAGAAGAGUCUUUGUUGG
rnacentral:lncRNA from 1 species